AGGGAUGGCCAAGUAUGGAAGCCC
rnacentral:siRNA from 1 species